CGUUCUCGGGCCUUGUACACACCGCCCGUCACACCAUGGAAGUGGGAAACACCCGAAGCCGGUGGCCUAACCUUUUAGGAAGGAACCGUCGAAGGUGGGGCUCAUGACUGGGGUG
rnacentral:rRNA from 1 species